ACCAAUCAGUUGCCGCUGUGACAUUGCGCCGAGGCUCUGAAGUGGGUAAUUGCAGACCAAAGCUAGGCUGGAAUACUGUGUUUGGGGUGGUCUUUAGAGUCGUGGUCUCUUUAGCGUUAUGAAGCCUACCUUGACUCCUAGAUGUUCAUUGUGAAUCUUGUUGGUGCUGGUAUCGCUGUACCUCUCAAAUAGCUUCCCCAUUUUGACUAAGAAUGAAGAGCUUCUUGGAUAAAGAACUUGUAAAAAUCAGAAUUCUUGAACACUAUUUGGACAGUCUAUAUACCGGAAGCCCAUCAGUCACAGAGCAACAAGCCAUGGGCAGGGAAUGAAAGGAGUUGAUCCUGACUCCAAGAUGCAUUCCAAAGAAAGAAAACGCAACUGUAGCCCUGACUCCGCGGAGGAAGGCCAACUGACUCCACUACGUGCACUUCCGAGCCACUUGGGCCCAGCUAGCUGUGUUAAUUAUGGGUUCUAAUUUUAUUGCAACUCGGCACCUCCUGGUUUGUUCCCACUAUAGUGGUCUUAAAAAGAAACACACACAGGCAUACCCCAGAAUGAAUCCCCGGGAAGGCAAAGGUAGAUUUUUUCGGUGCUUGAGUUGAUGCUCUGAGAGCGCGCUGAAAGUCUCGGGCAUGUCUUGGCACUCUUGGAAACAAAUUGCAGCCAAGAGCACGGUUCUUCCGGUCCUCUCCUUGCUCCUCUGUGCGCCGCUCGGCCGCGGGACUCCUGGAACAUGUUGUGCACCGCCCGAGUGGCUGCGGACCUCACCUCGAGGCCCUGGAUAGCCGGGGCCAGGAGGAGACGAGCAGGCAGUCUCCCGCCCUCACCUAGUCAGCUGCGACCUCCGCGGCGUGGACUCUUGGCCAGCAGUGAGGAGGACAAGGUUGCAGAUCCUAUUUGCUGCGGGUUCUGGGUCCGGCCUUGGGCGGCAUUCUGUCUUCUAAAGUGUGGAGGUGGGUAGAAGACUGUCCACUUUCAGUGUAGACACCUGCGGUAUGGGGGCUUCUUUGGGGGCUCCAGCGUGAGCUGCUCCUGCAGAUUAGGGAAAUGGAGAGAACAACAAUGGGGACAUGGUGGAAUUCAGAUUUCCCCCUGUUAAUUAACAAUAUGAUUUCGCUUAGUCCAAGUGUCUUCUGUGCUCUUAUUUAAUGUCUCUUGUAAAAUGGGAACUAGAAUAAUACCUCCUUGGUAUGGUUGUUGUGUUUGACGUGAGCCCUCAACAAAUGGUAGGAUGAACUGGAGAAGAAUGGGUCCAUCACUCCCCACACCCUUCCCUGCAGAGCUUCUUUGCUGUCUCCAGCUCUCCCGCCCUGACGCAAGGACAGCUCACAACCAGUGUCCUUGAGUAGCCCCUGGGGGCCGCAAGAGAAUCCAGCCCGGUAGGGCAUACAAGAUGGGUUUUCGGUGAAUCGUGAAAAGACAUGAUCGGGUUUCCCUUGGAGCAUGGUGGAGAAUGAUGCGGAGCCUUGGGGUCAAUGGAGAGUUGAGGGUGCAGAGGGAUCUGAAAGGGGGAACCAAAAAUAUCGGGCUUUGAAGUUCUGUGGAUUUUCAAAGGCGGUUCCCAACCUUGUCAAAAACUACAGUGGGUGCGCGAUCUAAUUUGGCUCCUAUAGGUGGCGCUGUGACAAGGUGCGGUGGCCGGGAGGGGCAGCUGGGGGACUCCAAGACUGCGGGAAAUUUUCUGCGACUCCGACGCUAACCCGCUGCUCCCAGCCUCCGCUUCUUGUUUUCGAGGGAU
rnacentral:lncRNA from 1 species